GAGGAAUUGUCUGUUUGGGGUGUUAAGGAUGGGAAGCAAUAUCCCUGCGUCAUGAAGGGCAAAAAUAACUCAACUACUGCGGCUGACUAUUUCAUCUGUGACAUUCAAAAUGCAAAUGUCAAAUUUAAUCAGCUAACGAUUAAAUAUGGACAAUUGACAGUGCAAGUGUGGAAUCCACCUUUAUGUGAUCAGUUCCUUCUGAUGUGGCGCCUCCUGUUGGUUCCCUGUGUUACUGCCGUGUUGGUGAUUAUCUGUCAGUGCCUUGUUAUGAAAAAGAAGCCCUGAUCAUUGACAACUGAGACUCCCUGGAAAUACAUAAUUUGUUAAACUUCCAGAUCAUCGAUAUUUGACAUAAUACAGCUUCGUGCAAUGACUUGCUACAAUGCUUUUGUAAGUUUUUAAUUUGUAAGUGGAAAACUGUUUUCUUUUCUCCUUUCCAUGUUUCCAUUUUUGCAUAUUAUUUACAAUUUGUGGGAUAGAAAAUCUACAAGCAUCUAAAUGACUUCCAUUAUGA